rnacentral:rRNA from 1 species
UACAGAGGGGGCAAGCGUUGUUCGGAAUUACUGGGCGUAAAGGGCGCGUAGGCGGCCCGCUAAGUCGAACGUGAAAUCCCCGAGCUCAACUCGGGAACUGCGUCCGAUACUGGUGGGCUUGAAUCCGGGAGAGGGAUGCGGAAUUCCUGGUGUAGCGGUGAAAUGCGCAGAUAUCAGGAAGAACACCCGUGGCGAAGGCGAAUCUCUGGACAGUUACUGACACUGAGGCACGGAAGGCCAGGGGAGCAAACGGG